rnacentral:rRNA from 1 species
AACGAACGCUGGCGGCAGGCCUAACACAUGCAAGUCGAACGCCCUAGCAAUAGGGAGUGGCAGACGGGUGAGUAACACGUGGGAACCUUCCCUAUAGUACGGAAUAUACCAGGGAAACUUGGAGCAAUACCGUAUACGCCCGAGAGGGGAAAGAUUUAUCGCUAUAGGAUGGGCCCGCGUAGGAUUAGCUAGUUGGUGAGGUAAUGGCUCACCAAGGCGACGAUCCUUAGCUGGUUUGAGAGAACGACCAGCCACACUGGGACUGAGACACGGCCCAGACUCCUACGGGAGGCAGCAGUGGGGAAUAUUGGACAAUGGGCGCAAGCCUGAUCCAGCCAUGCCGCGUGAGUGAUGAAGGCCUUAGGGUUGUAAAGCUCUUUUGCCGGGGACGAUAAUGACGGUACCCGGAGAAUAAGUCCCGGCUAACUUCGUGCCAGCCGCCGCCGUAAG